GAUUCCUACGAGGGGCAGCAGUGAGGAAUUUUCCGCAAUGGAUGCAAGUCUGACGGAGCAACGCCGCGUGCAGGAGGACGCUUUUCGGAGUGUAAACUGCUUUUCUCUGGGACGAGAGUGGACGGUACCAGAGGAAGAAGCCCCGGCUAACUACGUGCCAGCAGCCGCGGUAAUACGUAGGGGGCGAGCGUUGUCCGGAGUUACUGGGCGUAAAGGGCAUGCAGGCGGUCGGACGCGUUUUGUGUGACAGCGGGUGGCUCAACUACCCGAGCAUAGGAAAGACGGUUUGACUUGAGGGCUCGAGAGGGACACGGAAUUCCGGGUGGAGUGGUGAAAUGCGUAGAGAUCCGGAGGAACACCGAAGGCGAAGGCAGUGUCCUGGCGAGUGACUGACGCUGAGGUGCGAAAGCCAGGGGAGCGAACGGGAUUAGAUACCCCGGUAGUCCUGGCCGUAAACGAUGACCACCAGGUGUGGGAGGUAUCGACCCCUUCUGUGCCAAAGGAAACCCAUUAAGUGGUCCGCCUGGGGAGUACGGUCGCAAGAUUAAAACUCAAAGGAAUUGACG
rnacentral:rRNA from 1 species